rnacentral:lncRNA from 1 species
GGGGAAUCACUCUCACCUGCGGCAGUCGCCACAUGAUCCACAGCCGCACUGGAAGUGGCAAUGGCCCCUUGGCCAAGUCUAGCUUUAUUAUUAGGUGCCAUCACUGAAUAUUUGAAAUAGAGCACGAAUUAGACACAACAUCACUUCACGCACGAACUUGGAAUAACAAAGAAGAGAAUAGUUUUUCCUAAAUGUCCGUGUAACCCCGAACUUAUUGAUGUGGUCGACAACACACCGAUAAGAAGGGAUCUACUAGGCACGGCUCCGAGACAUCCUAGGACUCCUAUAAAACCCUAGGCUCUAAUAAAAAGUUUGUCACGCCCCAAAUCUGAGGGACAUGACCGGCACUCAAUCGGGUAUCCCCGGUUAAGUGGACCUGGGUGCCUUUCUUAUUCCCCACGCGCUACCCCACAUUAUUCAGUGUUCAUUGGCCAAAAUAUACCAAAUGCAAUUGAAAGUAAAUGUGAAUUCUCUUUUAUAAGCACACAUUAUGAUAAACAGGGAACAUCUUUUACAAAACACACAUUUUGAUUAAUAGAGAACGUGGUGUACAACUUACAGCGCCCAAAACAUACACCUAUAUACAUAAGUUCUAACCCAUAUAACACUAUCUAUGGAGCCUCUAAGAGAAAGAUAAUACAACACUUGCCGGCGAUAAGGCUCCGGCUAUACCUUUGCAAUGACAUCACAAAACUAUUAGUACAACAACAGAGGUGGCCUGAACCACGCAGGGCCCCAGAAAGAGGGGGGCUCACCAACAUGUACACAGCUAAUAGAAGGGAGGAAGAGCUAUGGACGGUGGGCUGGAGUGCCUGCUGCAGAUCCACCCCCCAUAAGGAAAGGGGCUCACCAACAUGUACACAUCUUAUAGAAAGGAGGAGGGGCUACGAACGGUGGACUGGAGUGUCUGCUGCGGAUCCACCUACAAUCAUAACACGAAUGUAGCCCCCCCCGGCAAAAGGGACGUCAGUACAUUUGAAUUGUACUGGCAUGUAUGAACAAACUCUAUCCCAAGUAAACUCAAGACGAAAAUACACAUACAAAGGGAAAACUAAACAACAAUAGCACGACAAUGGAACAACAACCAAGAAAUUCACAGCAAAUAAUACAAUUAGUCAAAUAAAGGGGCAAUCAGUGUCCCACAAGUUACAAACUCUCCUGCUGUCUCCUUUCACAAUUCCAUAUUGAUUAUUUCAUGAUUUAUAUACAUUUUAAUAGUGCUAUUGGAUCACAUUUUCUACCCUUAUUACCUCGUCCAUCCUUAUUACCUCAGUCACCCUUAUUACCCCAACCCACACAUUAUUUUUACCGUGUUGUGGCGCGCAACCCGACCCCGCCUGAAAGUUUCAGUUCACAAACAACAUACAACACAAAAACAAAUACAAGAAAUCAACUAAAGCACAUUGUUAAGAUAUAACCACAAUAAGAGGUAAAGUAUUUCCACAUCUAGCAAUUACAAUUUCCUCAUGUUCAUCAAUUUGUUCACAAUCCGAGUUACCACAAUGGAUGUCCAUAACCAACCAUGUGUUGUUACUACAAUAGUUUCGGCUUCACCAUUCAAGAAUUCUUUCAGUCACAUGAUCCUCAACCAUUGCCAUAAGAUGUCACCACACUAGUGUAAAUCACAAGAGUUUCACAAUAAAUUCCCCACAUGGAUAUCAAGUAAUAUCACAUAACAACCCAAGGCGAUUUCACAAGGAUCACAGUUAGCCAUAUAUACCUGGAAUUGAAUAUCUCUUUCUAACUUCCACUCCAAUUCACCAAGCAAUCAAGAUGGUUCAAUCUAGUUCAUGACUAAUACAUAGACCUUUAGAAUAGGAAUUCACAAUUUACUACCCAAUUCCCCUUUCACAAGAUUCUAGGGUUUUGAAGACAUGCAUGAAAGUUUUAUCAGGAAAUUAAAAAUCUAGUGCAUGUGGUUCUCUUCCGAAGCUUAGGUUUGAAAUAUUAGGGAAAAGGGUUAGGGAUUUUACCUGUGAAAUCAGAAGUGAAGACAAUGCACCAAAAUUCUUCGGGCUCCAAUGAUUUUGAAAGAUCAAUGGUUGGAAAAAUAGUUUUCUCUCUCAAGAACUUUCUCUUCCUCUCUCUUAUUUUGUUCAGAAAAUGGGUUAAAAAUGAGGGAUGGGACGUAUUAUUAAAGAUGGGUCGGGCUUAGAAUUUUAGAAAAUAACUAGGCGAGCUCAAUCUGCGAUGCAACUCUGCGAUCGCAGAACUGACUUUCGGUCCGCAGAAUGGGCCGCAGAUUGGUCCCAAGUUUUGGACCUCCUCAGGUUGGGAAUGCGGUGGAUAUGUGGUCCGCAUUCGUGUUCUACAUUCGUAGAAUGCACCGCAAAACUCUUCAAAAUUCUUCAGGGACCAUAUGCGAUCACAAUGCGGUCCGCAUAUUGAUUAUGUGACCACAGAUCUGACCGCAUUUUUUAAAUCAAAAUUGGUUGCUCUCUGGAAACUUCUGCGGCAGAAAUGCGGUGCGUAUUCCAUAUCUGCGACCGCAUUCUGGACCGCAGAUUGGACCUUUUUUGGAAAAAUUUCGAUUUCACAUUUUUAAGUGCAAAAGAGUAAAAACAAUAUGAUCCACGUAGGUAGACUCGACUCUAUGAGUUGCUAUCAUCUGAGUACUCAUUUUCACAGGGCAUUAUAGUUGAUGUCAUGCACUUAAUUUAAUUGCUUUUGGUGAGAAUGAGAGUAAAAAUACGAAGGUCGGUGUCGUGCAACUGUUAAUUUUCCUGCUCUCAUUAAGUAUUGUUGUUGCACAGUUUCUUGCUUUAAUUAUUGACUUUAUAUCCGGACUGUAUCUCCCACAAAGUAUGUUCCCCUCCCUCCUGACUAUUUAACUUUUGUACUCUUUCCUUUUAUUGCAUAUAUAUGUAUAUAUUACUGUCUAGCCUCCUCACUACUUUGUCGGGGUUAGUCCAGGCACUUACCAGCACAUGGGGUCGGUUGUGCUGAUGCUACACUCUGCACUUAUGUGCAGAUAUAAGAGCAGCUUACAAAGCGCAGCAGUAGUCGGGGAGCUAUCCUUCAGUCCAGGGACUUUCGAGGUUGCCUAGGUGACAUCCGUAGGCCGGAUUCCCUUCUAUGUUAUUAGUUUUUUUGUAGUACCAAGACAAACAUUGAUGUACUUCUAUUCAGACUUAUUGUUUUAGCACUCUUUAGUAGUUCGUGAGUUAGUUACACGGGAUCUGGGUAGAGUUAUAUUUAAACUUCCGCAUUUGGUUCUCAGUUAUCCAUAUUCUUAAAACUUCCGUUUUUAUUUAAAUGACUAAUUUUAUUAUAUUGUUGACAUGUUAUCAGGAAAUAUUUUAAUACUUGGCUUGCCUAUCUCCGAUAGUACGCGCCAUUAUGACUUCCGAUGGUGCGAAAUUUGGGUUGUGACAUUAAAUCAAGGCAAGCUCUUUCAUCAGGAAUCUGUCUAGCAAAAACUGCUCCAGAAUUACCACCUGAUGACUGGAGGUUAUCCCUACUCUGCACACCCUCAUUAUUGUGAACGUCUUCAACCUUGGCAUACAUUUCCAAAAAUUUUAUUACAAUAAAUUUCAUGUAUUCAUCCGGAAUCUGAAAAAAAUCUCUAAGAGUUUCAUCAUCUUCGAUGUUAAACUUAGAAUAAUAAGCAAACCUCUGCGGAGUCACAGAAUACGAAAAUAUACCUGUUAGUUUAAGGCUCACCGAACGUUUCCUCACACUCAUGUUUUUACGUAAUGAUACCAAUUUAUCGUACUCCGUUGGAAGCGGAAAUUUAACAUGACACUGUGGAGGUGAAUUAUACCUCACAGAGUUAUUCUCCAUUACAACCUCAUUCCCCCCCCCCCCCCNNNNNNNNNNNNNNNNNNNNNNNNNNNNNNNNNNNNNNNNNNNNNNNNNNNNNNNNNNNNNNNNNNNNNNNNNNNNNNNNNNNNNNNNNNNNNNNCCCCCCCCAAAUAUAAUAAAAUCCUUAUUUUGGCUCUUCAGAUAUUAUAUAAAAAUGUUUGAUAACAAGAAGAGAAGUAUGAACGGAAGUUUGUAGGAAUGUUUUGAAUGGAUCUUCAUAAAAUUCGAACACCUUUAAAUAAGGCAAGUCCUAGCUUGGGGUGCAUAAUAUUUUUAAUGUAAAACCCAGUAUAUACCACGCUUUAUGUAUUUGAAUUACUGUUAUGUUAGUUAUUCGCAGAACACUUAUUGGUGGGCCCAAAAAUUAAUGUAAAACGCAUUAUAAUACUACAUUUUAGUAAAACGUAGUAUUAUACUACAUUUUACUUUAAAAACGAAUAUUGUCGGUUAUCUAAGAAUAGGGUAUAUUGGUGGGUCCAAAUUGAAGUUAUUACAAUGUGUUUUAUUAAAAUAUAAUAUUAUACUGCAUUUUACAUUAACGGCUAAUUUUUCGUUAAAUUAAAAGACAGUCAAAUAUUGUGUUUUAGUAAAAAGUAUAACUUUUUAAAACUAUAUAAUAGUAUUUUAAGUCCAAAACAUCAUUAUUUAGUAGGGGUUCAUCGGGCGGAUUGGGCGGCUUUUUACUCUUAACAGUUUGGCUUAACGGUUAUCGGCUUUUAAAUGUAUUCAUCUGUUAGCCACCCGAUAAGAUAACAGGCGGAUUGGUAUCGGGUUAGCUCUUAUCGGGCGGUUACUGGACGGUUUAUCGGUUUAAUACCUAUGGAGGUGAUCGAAAAGCUUAUACCGAAUUACAAUACUUGUACAAUACUAAAAGCCUAAAAAGCAGAAGACAAUUACAAAUUGUACACAUUUUCUGUCCGUAGACAGUUUUUGUAUGACUUUUUUUAUAGGCGGGAAUUCGCGUUAAGGUUCGAACUAUGAUUUUCUCCUAAGCAGCACUAGUUACAAGUAUCAAGGCCAUUGUAAUGUGUUAUGUAUAGCUGAGAAAUUUACUGCUAAAGCAGCCUGAAGGAAAAAUAAUUUAUAGUAUCCUUGAUCUAUUGAAUGAUCUUUAUAAUUUCUCCACACAAAAAAAAAUAGUUAGCAAUUCCCCUAUGUUUAAAACAAUACGAAACCUAAUUUGAUUAAAAACUAGGAAACAUAUUCCUAUAUAAUCUAACUAUAAAACAAGGCUAGACAUGACCAGAAGAAACUAGUGACUGUCAAAUAUUAAAUAACUUAUUAGGUUUCUACUAACUUUGAAUUAUUCUACCAACACCGGAGAGACUGAGAAUGAGAAGGAAAAAGUGAAAUUCCAGGAUAAAUUUUAAAAAUUUAUCAUAUAAUUAUGUAAGUAAAAAUAAAUUUCGGAGAGACUAAGAAUGAGAAGGAAAAAGCGAAAUUCCGGGAUAAAUUUUGAAAAUUUGUCAAUAUUAUCACAAAGAUGAAUCUACUAGGCAAUUUUCUGUAGAUAGUUCACCUUUUAUUCCUUCCUAAGGGAAAUGAGCUUGUGAAUUGAAUCAGACAACAGGUGAUCUUUGUGAACGAAUGUAUCCGUCAACCAUGAAGCUCCUCUUCUUCUGAUGUUACGAUUCAGUAAAAGCAAGACAUCAAACGAGCAUGUGAACUUCAGCAGGCAUUGUCCAAAAAAGAUGGGAAACGAUGCUUAUAGCCAAUAGUGAUGUGAUAGACAUAGACUACAUUUCAAUGUGCACGAAAUGGUUUCUUAGAAGAAGAAUGGAAAAUUAGGGGGGAAGAAAUCACAUCUUUAAAAAGUAUCUAAAGCUCAAUAAUUAUCAGGUGAAAAAAUUAUUUCCAGAGAGUAAAUAACUCCAUUUUAACUAUAACUCUGCAACAUUUUGAUACCUAGUUUACAAGAGCUUUGAGAUUUUGUCUCAUUUUUUUGUACUGUACACACAAGAAGACGACGAGUGUAUUAAGAGACGAGAUGACGAUAGGGUGACCGGCGACUGGUGGAAGUAGACGACGACAAGCGAGCGGACGCGGAGACUGGAGAGGAUUGGUGGUUGGCGGCUGCUGCUUUAAUAGUGUUAGGGUUUCUCUAGAG